CUCCGGGUCUCCAGGAAGUAGCUAGCUACAUCUGUCAACGCAAGAAAAAAUGGACGAUCAUCUUAAACUCGGAGACAGUGGAGUUGUAAAGAAUUUUCAGGUUGCAAAGUUGGGUCGACGGGGUCAACGUACUCGACAGGCUGCAGAGCAAACAUCACUGGAGGAGCCUCGACACGUCAGGAAAUCCUCUUCUUCUACAUCGAUGGGAGAGGGACCCCCUCCUAAACCAGCCCGCAGGCAGGGCGGAUGGGCUGAAGAGACUUCUGGAUCAGCCAAGUCUGGAAGAAGACCUGCCAUGGUGCAGGAUGUGGAAGAUCGACGCCUGCGACCACAAACCCCCCAGGGCUCGGAUGAUGAAGGAGAUAUACCGGUGAUCCCAGACCUUGACGAAGUACAAGAGGAAGACCUUAACAUGCAAGUUUCUGCUCCUCCAAGCAUCCAGGUGAACCGGGUAAUGACAUACAGAGAUCUGGACAAUGACCUCAUGAAGUACUCUGUCUUCCAGACCCUGGACGGUGAGAUUGACUUGAAGCUCCUCACCAAGGUUUUAGCUCCAGAGCAGGAGGUGAGGGAGGAGGACGUGGGUUGGGACUGGGAUCAUCUGUUUACAGAGGUGUCCUCAGAGCUGCUGACGGAAUGGGAUCAAGGAGAGAAGGAGGAGCAGGUCCCGCUGUCUGUGUUAUGAGGACAAGCCUCCCCAAGUUGGGAUAAAGUGGACCAGAACGUCUCCUCUGGGACCUGGGACCACGUGCUGACUGACACAGGCCAAUCACGGCCCGGCAGUCAACGAGGAGGCUCGCGCUCCGAGGCCAUAGACAUUGGCCAUGUUCGAGAGCAUCAAAACCAUAUUAUAAACUGGGUGGUUUGAGCCCUGAAUGCUGAUUGGCUGAAAGCUGGGGUAUAUCAGACCGUAUACCACAGCUUUCCAUUAAUCAUCCUUGAGACGUUUCUACAACUUGAUUGGAGUCCACC